rnacentral:rRNA from 1 species
AUGCCUCUAACUGGAACGUACCUUGAGCAUAUAUGCUGUGACCCGAAAGAUGGUGAACUAUACUUGAUCAGGUUGAAGUCAGGGGAAACCCUGAUGGAAGACCGAAACAGUUCUGACGUGCAAAUCGAUUGUCAGAAUUGAGUAUAGGGGCGAAAGACCAAUCGAACCAUCUAGUAGCUGGUUCCUUCCGAAGUUUCCCUCAGGAUAGCUGGUGCAUUUUAAUAUUAUAUAAAAUAAUCUUAUCUGGUAAAGCGAAUGAUUAGAGGCCUUAGGGUCGAAACGAUCUUAACCUAUUCUCAAACUUUAAAUGGGUAAGAACCUUAACUUUCUUGAUAUGAAGUUCAAGGUUAUGAUAUAAUGUGCCCAGUGGGCCACUUUUGGUAAGCAGAACUGGCGCUGUGGGAUGAACCAAACGUAAUGUUACGGUGCCCAAAUUAACAACUCAUGCAGAUACCAUGAAAGGCGUUGGUUGCUUAAAACAGCAGGACGGUGAUCAUGGAAGUCGAAAUCCGCUAAGGAGUGUGUAACAACUCACCUGCCGAAGCAACUAGCCCUUAAAAUGGAUGGCGCUUAAGUUGUAUACCUAUACAUUACCGCUAAAGUAGAUGAUUUAUAUUACUUGUGAUAUAAAUUUUGAAACUUUAGUGAGUAGGAAGGUACAAUGGUAUGCGUAGAAGUGUUUGGCGUAAGCCUGCAUGGAGCUGCCAUUGGUACAGAUCUUGGUGGUAGUAGCAAAUAAUCGAAUGAGACCUUGGAGGACUGAAGUGGAGAAGGGUUUCGUGUGAACAGUGGUUGAUCACGAGUUAGUCGGUCCUAAGUUCAAGGCGAAAGCCGAAAAUUUUCAAGUAAAACAAAAAUGCCUAACUAUAUAAACAAAGCGAAUUAUAAUACACUUGAAUAAUUUUGAACGAAAGGGAAUACGGUUCCAAUUCCGUAACCUGUUGAGUAUCCGUUUGUUAUUAAAUAUGGGCCUCGUGCUCAUCCUGGCAACAGGAACGACCAUAAAGAAGCCGUCGAGAGAUAUCGGAAGAGUUUUCUUUUCUGUUUUAUAGCCGUACUACCAUGGAAGUCUUUCGCAGAGAGAUAUGGUAGAUGGGCUAGAAGAGCAUGACAUAUACUGUUGUGUCGAUAUUUUCUCCUCGGACCUUGAAAAUUUAUGGUGGGGACACGCAAACUUCUCAACAGGCCGUACCAAUAUCCGCAGCUGGUCUCCAAGGUGAAGAGUCUCUAGUCGAUAGAAUAAUGUAGGUAAGGGAAGUCGGCAAAUUAGAUCCGUAACUUCGGGAUAAGGAUUGGCUCUGAAGAUUGAGAUAGUCGGGCUUGAUUGGGAAACAAUAACAUGGUUUAUGUGCUCGUUCUGGGUAAAUAGAGUUUCUAGCAUUUAUGUUAGUUACUUGUUCCCCGGAUAGUUUAGUUACGUAGCCAAUUGUGGAACUUUCUUGCUAAAAUUUUUAAGAAUACUAUUUGGGUUAAACCAAUUAGUUCUUAUUAAUUAUAACGAUUAUCAAUUAACAAUCAAUUCAGAACUGGCACGGACUUGGGGAAUCCGACUGUCUAAUUAAAACAAAGCAUUGUGAUGGCCCUAGCGGGUGUUGACACAAUGUGAUUUCUGCCCAGUGCUCUGAAUGUCAAAGUGAAGAAAUUCAAGUAAGCGCGGGUCAACGGCGGGAGUAACUAUGACUGUCUUAAGGGGAGUCAUGGGGUAUUUGAGAGCAGAGGGGGAGUAUUCUUCUGUAAUUCGUAAGUCAUAUCAUAUGAUGUGCGGAAGGGGAAUUUUACUCUGUAACUCACAAGUCUCUCCUUUACUCAAGUCGACUCAAAACCUCCUCGUGGUGGUCCCCGGUAAUGCUAAACUUGUUUAGCAGCUAAUUUGAGCGGCAAAACUUUUCCGAUGGGCUGGUUCCCCAGAGGAAAUUUAUUCAUAUUGAAACUACAAGCACAAAUAACGAGCCUCGGAUAACUUUACACAAUCUGAUGACGACCCGACCCUCCGUGGAUAUCUUCCCGGAGGACCAAUAUGAACCAAACGCAGCGGUUACUCUAUCUAGGGUUCCCUGCACAGUAUAUGACCGGUCCUUUAACAGCAAGAGAGGACUCGGUGUUCACAUGCGAUCUCGGCACCCAGACGAACUUGAUGAAGAACGUCGACGUGUCGAUAUAAAGGCAAGAUGGAGUGACGAAGAGAAGUGGAUGAUGGCGAGAAAGGAGGUUGAGCUCACAGCAAAUGGAUGUAAACACAUAAACAACUAGCGGUGUAUUUUGCAAACCGCAGCGUCGAAGCCAUCAAAAAGCUAAGACAGAGGGGCGAUUAU